rnacentral:piRNA from 1 species
UCACCGUGUUUGAGAAUGGGCCACAUGUC